GUGAUGUCGCCAGGCGCUGCCGAGCCGUGAAGACAGCUCGAGAGGGCUGA
rnacentral:snoRNA from 1 species